rnacentral:misc_RNA from 1 species
GAUGAAGAACGUAGCGAAAUGCGAUAAGUAAUGUGAAUUGCAGAAUUCAGUGAAUCAUCGAAUCUUUGAACGCACCUUGCGCUCUUUGGUAUUCCGAAGAGCAUGCCUGUUUGAGUGUCAUGAAAAUAUCAACCUUGACUUGGGUUUUGUGCUCUAGUCUCGGCUUGGAAUUGGGUGCUUGCCGCUUUUACGAGCGGCUCACCUUAAAUGUAUUAGCUGGAUCUGUCUUUGAGACUUGGUUUGACUUGGCGUAAUAAGUAUUUCGCUAAGGACAUUCUUCGGAGUGGCCUCGUUUCUAGGACGCUUGUCCGCUUUCCAAUACAAGUUCCACCUCGUGGACAUGACUUUUUAUUAUCUGGCCUCAAAUCAGGUAGGACUACCCGCUGAACUUAAGCAUAUCAAAGCGGAGGA